rnacentral:rRNA from 1 species
GACGAACGCUGGCGGCGUGCCUAAUACAUGCAAGUCGAGCGAAUGAUGAGGAGCUUACUCCUCUGAUUUAGCGGCGGACGGGUGAGUAACACGUGGGUAAUCUGCCUGUAAGACGGGGAUAACUCCGGGAAACCGGGGCUAAUACCGGAUAAUAAGAAGAAACGCAUGUUUCUUUUUUGAAAGUCGGUUUCGGCUGACACUUACAGAUGAGCCCGCGGCGCAUUAGCUAGUUGGUGGGGUAACGGCUCACCAAGGCGACGAUCCGUAGCAGGUCUGAGGGGAUGAUCGGCCAAAGUGGGACUGAGACACGGCCCAGACUCCUACGGGAGGGAGCAGUGGGGAAUAUUGCGCAAUGGGCGAAAGCCUGACGCAGCCAUGCCGCGUGAGUGAUGAAGGCCUUCGGGUCGUAAAGCCCUGUCGGGAGGGACGAAGGGUGGCAACACUCUGACGGUACCUCGCAAGAGAGCACCGGCUAACUCCGUGCCAGCAGCCGCGGUAACAC